ACCUACCUGAGGAGCAGUAGGGCCGGAGAGUCUGAAUGGACUGGUUAUACAAGCAAGAGUGCCAACUGCUCUUGAGCUGAAUCUGAAGGAGAUUUCUACAAUUUAGCACAAGGCAUGACUGAUGCCUUUCAAAUGAGUGUGUAAACAGCUCUGCUGUCAGGACAUUUGAGCUACAGUAUGCUUCUGCAGCUGCGGGAUUGAUGGCAGGCACCUCCAACACAGCACAAGCACACAGCACCGAGGGUUCUCCUGAAGGUUACGAAUGGGAUCAGGCUUCCUCCAAAGGUGAGAGUAUGCAUUCAGACCAGAGGAGCCUGACUCCCUCUGACAUUGUGACAAACAUGAUCAGCAUCUGACUCAGCAGAGAGCACUUCCUCACAUCUCAUGGCGGUGCUGAUGUGGCUGGUGAUGAUGUUUCAUCGGCUGGUGUUGAACUGUCUGUGCCACUGAGGAGCUUCAGAGUGGUGACACCUAACUUCAGCUGAGCCCAGCUGAAGUUCCAUACAGGGACAUGCCUCACGCCACUCUUUGCUUCUGUGGUGUGUGUGUCCCACCACACAGUGAUGGUUAAAAAGAAGCUGCAAAAUUUAAUUCAAGAGUUUCUGAAGGUGGUAUAAAGUACAUUUGAUUAAAAUGAAUACAAGAAACACAGCACAACUAGAUAUUGGUUUUAUUGUAUUUUUCUUUUGUUUUAUUUCAUUUUGUUCUCAUGAGAAGCAUUUAUAUAAAAAUAUAGUAUAGUC